ACGCUGGCGGCAUGCCUAACACAUGCAAGUCGAAACGAGACCUUCGGGGUCUAGUGGCGCACGGGUGCGUAACGCGUGGGAACCUGCCUUUAGGUUCGAAUAACUCAGAGAAAUUUGAGCUAAUACCAUAUAAUGUCUUCGGACCAAAGAUUUAUCGCCCUGAGAUAAGCCCGCGUAGGAUUAGCUAGUUGGUGGGGUAAAGGCUCACCAAGGCGACGAUCCUUAGCUGGUCUGAGAGGAUGAUCAGCCACACUGGGACUGAGACACGGCCCAGACUCCUACGGGAGGCAGCAGUGGGGAAUAUUGGACAAUGGGGCGAAAGCCUGAUCCAGCAAUGCCGCGUGAGUGAUGAAGGCCUUCGGGUCGUAAAGCUCUUUUACCAGGGAUGAUAAUGACAGUAUCGGGAGAAUAAGCUCCGGCUAACUCCGUG
rnacentral:rRNA from 1 species